rnacentral:lncRNA from 1 species
GUCACACCCAGGGGCGGCUAUGCUUUGACUAAGCCACACCCCUUUUCAACUUCCACCUCGAGGAGGUCCCCAAAGCCAACCCAAUGGCCAAACAACACGAGAAACAAGUAAGUGAUAAAACAAUCUUUAUUUAAAUAUUUAAAAAUAGCUUGGGGAAUAGGGAAAGGGCAAUUAAAACUAAACUCUGACUCGGCCCUCCAGAUGGGCUAUGGCCGGGAAGAGGUCAGGGAGCAAGGGGGCCACGGGGAUCCGGGGCGUGGGACUCGGGGCCCGGCCAGAGUCUUAGGUAUCCGUAGCGCCCUCCUUCUUCCUCCUCUUCGCUGAAUACAACUCACGGUAAGUACUGGUUCACACAGUUCGUUCUCGGGGUGCUCACUCUCUUUCUCUUCCUCCACAGGCAACGGCUGGGACGCAAAGGCACAGUUAAUUCGGCUUGGUAUUGCUCUCACCUCUUCGCUGAUUGCAGCUCACAGUAAGUACUAGUUCACACAGUUCGUUCCUUGGGUGCUCACUCGCUUUCUCUUUCUCCACAGGCAGCGGCGUAAGUACAGGUUUCCUCGGUCUCUCCUCGUGUUACCCACUCUCUCUCCUCCUCUCUACAGGUAUCAACUUGGACACAAAAUACAGUUACUCUGCUUUGGAUGGCUUUCACCUCUUCGCUGAUUGCAGCUCACAGUAAGUACUGGUUCACACAGUUCGUUCCUUGGGUGCUCACUCGCUUUCUCUUUCUCCACAGGCAGCGGCGUAAGUACAGGUUUCCUCGGUCUCUCCUCGUGUUACCCACUCUCUCUCCUUUUCUCUCCACAGGUAUCAACUUGGGCACAAUAGCACAGUUAGUUUGCUUUGAAUGGCUCUCACCUCUGGGCUGGACACAGCGUACUGUAAGAAAAAGGUUUCGCUCUAUUUCUCCUCGCGUUAUCCACUCUCUCUCCUCCUCUCUACAGGUAUCAACUUGGACACAAAACACAGUUACUCUGCUUUGGAUGGCUUUCACCUCUGGGCUGGACACAACGUACUGUAUCAGAUUGGACACAAAGCACAGUUAGUUUGCUUUGAAUAGCUCCCACCUCUGGGCUGAACACAGCGUACCGUGCUAUCUCCGGAGAUCUGAAGCACGCUCACAACAUAUACUGUACUGAACUAGGCUAGAACCAGCAGUCUCCUUGUCCUCCCGCGACGGAGUGCGUGAAGGAGGGGGUUUAUCUGACAGGACACACGGCAAUACACAGCAACCCACAGCAAUAUACAGCACCACGUCAAAAUUUUAGGUUUUCACAGCACGAAGACUCACCCACCACACUCAGUGUACGAAAAGGACACCCGUCUUCCUUCACUUCGCUUGGUUCGGAUCUGGCGAUGGAAUAUGCGGCCUAGCUAGUGAUGUCGUCGUUGUGACUACUUCAAUAAGUAUUCCUUCGGCUCUCCCACCACGCUAUAUUAGGGGUAGGGCCGCCCUCCUCCUCCUGGGGAGAUCUACACAACGCCAGGUCAAUAUACAGGGCACUUUCGGCUUGCUCUUAGUACUCACAUCAAUGCCGCUUCCAAUCCCCUUUUUCACGUCGUCUCAAUUCGCCGUAUAAUCCGUUCACUUCUCAACCUUUAAGGUUCGCGAUGUCUUCACAAUCAUACAAUUCCAGCCUGAGGGAGAGAGAGAGUUAGACAGCCACCAGCAGCGCACCAAGACGGGCACGACACAGUGCUUCACACACACCAGAAAGAGCUCCCAGACUGUGAAAUAACUUGGCCUUAAGUACUGCCUUGUCCAGCGUAUCCUCCAAUCACCAACCGCUGUCCCUAACUAGGCACAGGUGCAUCGAAUUCCCUGAUUU